rnacentral:rRNA from 1 species
UACGAAGGGGGCUAGCGUUGCUCGGAAUCACUGGGCGUAAAGGGUGCGUAGGCGGGUCUUUAAGUCAGGGGUGAAAUCCUGGAGCUCAACUCCAGAACUGCCUUUGAUACUGAAGAUCUUGAGUUCGGGAGAGGUGAGUGGAACUGCGAGUGUAGAGGUGAAAUUCGUAGAUAUUCGCAAGAACACCAGUGGCGAAGGCGGCUGACUGGUCCGGAUCUAACGCUGAGGCGCGAAAGCGUGGGGAGCAAACAGG